AUAUAUUAAGAUUAAAUUGAUUACAUGUUCACAAAAUGACUACAUCUAAUCCCAACAACAAAGGAAUUUAGCUAGACAUGAUAAAAGUAAACUUACAAGAAAAAAGGAUGAAGAACAUCUCUUGAUUUCUCAAGUAUAAUGAUGAAUCCACCUUCAAGAACUCUUAAAACUAAUAUUACUUGUGUCUUUUAACUAUUACAAAAACUAUCUAUCAGAAAAUGGCUUCUGAGCUCUAUUUAUAGACUUUCAGGACAGAGGAAUUCGCUAAGCGAAAUGAUGUUCGCUGAGCGAACUAGUUACUUAAGCAAGGGGUUUCUUGACACGUAGCAAAAGGCUUGACUCAUCACUUUGUUCGCCGAUGCUCGCUAUGUCUCGCUNNNNNNNNNNNNNNNNNNNNNNNNNNNNNUUCGCUGAAUCUCGCUGAAGCUCGCCAUGGACCCUUUGUCCACUGGUUUAGUUCGCUGUAGCUCGCUAUGGCUUCGCUGAGCGAAGGCUUCAAAACCUGCUUUUCUAGCCAUUCCUUACAAAAAUGCCUUGGGAUCAAUUCCUUUUAGAUUUAAUGUUUAUAUUUACACAAAAAGGGGUUUUAAUCAAGAUUUCUUCAAACAAGUAUCGGUAAGUGCUCA
rnacentral:lncRNA from 1 species